UGCAGUCGAGCGGUAGCACAGAGAGCUUGCUCUCGGGUGACGAGCGGCGGACGGGUGAGUAAUGUCUGGGAAACUGCCUGAUGGAGGGGGAUAACUACUGGAAACGGUAGCUAAUACCGCAUAACGUCGCAAGACCAAAGUGGGGGACCUUCGGGCCUCAUGCCAUCAGAUGUGCCCAGAUGGGAUUAGCUAGUAGGUGGGGUAACGGCUCACCUAGGCGACGAUCCCUAGCUGGUCUGAGAGGAUGACCAGCCACACUGGAACUGAGACACGGUCCAGACUCCUACGGGAGGCAGCAGUGGGGAAUAUUGCACAAUGGGCGCAAGCCUGAUGCAGCCAUGCCGCGUGUAUGAAGAAGGCCUUCGGGUUGUAAAGUACUUUCAGCGGGGAGGAAGGCGAUAAGGUUAAUAACCUUGUCGAUUGACGUUACCCGCAGAAGAAGCACCGGCUAACUCCGUGCCAGCAGCCGCGGUAAUACGGAGGGUGCAAGCGUUAAUCGGAAUUACUGGGCGUAAAGCGCACGCAGGCGGUCUGUCAAGUCGGAUGUGAAAUCCCCGGGCUCAACCUGGGAACUGCAUUCGAAACUGGCAGGCUAGAGUCUUGUAGAGGGGGGUAGAAUUCCAGGUGUAGCGGUGAAAUGCGUAGAGAUCUGGAGGAAUACCGGUGGCGAAGGCGGCCCCCUGGACAAAGACUGACGCUCAGGUGCGAAAGCGUGGGGAGCAAACAGGAUUAGAUACCCUGGUAGUCCACGCCGUAAACGAUGUCGAUUUGGAGGUUGUGCCCUUGAGGCGUGGCUUCCGGAGCUAACGCGUUAAAUCGACCGCCUGGGGAGUACGGCCGCAAGGUUAAAACUCAAAUGAAUUGACGGGGGCCCGCACAAGCGGUGGAGCAUGUGGUUUAAUUCGAUGCAACGCGAAGAACCUUACCUGGUCUUGACAUCCACAGAACUUAGCAGAGAUGCUUUGGUGCCUUCGGGAACUGUGAGACAGGUGCUGCAUGGCUGUCGUCAGCUCGUGUUGUGAAAUGUUGGGUUAAGUCCCGCAACGAGCGCAACCCUUAUCCUUUGUUGCCAGCGGUUAGGCCGGGAACUCAAAGGAGACUGCCAGUGAUAAACUGGAGGAAGGUGGGGAUGACGUCAAGUCAUCAUGGCCCUUACGACCAGGGCUACACACGUGCUACAAUGGCAUAUACAAAGAGAAGCGACCUCGCGAGAGCAAGCGGACCUCAUAAAGUAUGUCGUAGUCCGGAUUGGAGUCUGCAACUCGACUCCAUGAAGUCGGAAUCGCUAGUAAUCGUAGAUCAGAAUGCUACGGUGAAUACGUUCCCGGGCCUUGUACACACCGCCCGUCACACCAUGGGAGUGGGUUGCAAAAGAAGUAGGUAGCUUAACCUUCGGGAGGGCGCUU
rnacentral:rRNA from 1 species